GACGAACGCUGGCGGCGUGCUUAACACAUGCAAGUCGAACGAAGUGGCGAACGGGUGAGUAAUACGUGGGUAACCUGCCCUCCUUUUUGGGAUAAGCCUUGGAAACGGGGUCUAAUACCGAAUAAAGGGGGAUGGGCUCGCGGCCUAUCAGCGUGGUGGUGGGGUGUUGGCCUACCAAGGCGGUGACGGGUAGCCGUGCUGAGAGGGUGACAGGCCGAAUUGGGAUUGAGCUACGGCCCGGACUCCUCCGGGAGGCAGCAGUCGGGGCUAUUGUACAAUGGGCGAAGGCCUGAUGCAGCGACGGCGCGUGGGGGAUGAAGGCUUUCGGGUUGUAAACCUCUUUCACUCUCGUACGGGUCCGUGGCGAGGAAGCGCCGGCUAACUACGUGCCAGCAGCCGCGGUAAUUC
rnacentral:rRNA from 1 species